CGUAACACGUGAGCAACCUACCGAACUGUGGGGGAUAGCCGGCCUAACGGCCGAGUAAUACCGCAUACGCUCUCAGUGAGGCAUUUCAUUGAGAGGAAACCUACGGGACAGAUCGAGGGGCUCGCGGCCUAUCAGCUAGUUGGCGAGGUAACGGCUCACCAAGGCAACGACGGGUAGCUGGUCUGAGAGGAUGGCCAGCCACAUUGGGACUGAGAUACGGCCCAG
rnacentral:rRNA from 1 species